GCAGGCAUAGUUUAGUGGUAAAACAUCAGCUUCCCAAGCUGAGGUUGCGAGUUCGAUUCUCGCUGCCUGCUCCA
rnacentral:tRNA from 1 species